GACGAACGCUGGCGGCGUGCUUAACACAUGCAAGUCGAACGGAAAGGCCCUGCUUUUGUGGGGUGCUCGAGUGGCGAACGGGUGAGUAACACGUGAGUAACCUGCCCUUGACUUUGGGAUAACUUCAGGAAACUGGGGCUAAUACCGGAUAGGAGCUCCUGCUGCAUGGUGGGGGUUGGAAAGUUUCGGCGGUUGGGGAUGGACUCGCGGCUUAUCAGCUUGUUGGUGGGGUAGUGGCUUACCAAGGCUUUGACGGGUAGCCGGCCUGAGAGGGUGACCGGCCACAUUGGGACUGAGAUACGGCCCAGACUCCUACGGGAGGCAGCAGUGGGGAAUAUGGCACAAUGGGAGGAAGCCUGAUGCAGCAACGCCGCGUGCGGGAUGACGGCCUUCGGGUUGUAAACCGCUUUCGCCUGUGACGAAGCGUGAGUGACGGUAAUGGGUAAAGAAGCACCGGCUAACUACGUG
rnacentral:rRNA from 1 species